UACGUAGGGGGCAAGCGUUGUUCGGAAUUACUGGGCGUAAAGGGCGCGUAGGCGGCACAGCAAGUCGGGAGUGAAAGCCCGGGGCUCAACCCCGGAAUGGCUUUCGAAACUGCUGAGCUAGAGUACAGGAGGGGCAACCGGAAUUCCCAGUGUAGCGGUGAAAUGCGUAGAUAUUGGGAAGAACACCUGAGGCGAAGGCGGGUUGCUGGGCUGAUACUGACGCUGAGGCGCGAAAGCCAGGGGAGCAAACGGG
rnacentral:rRNA from 1 species